rnacentral:rRNA from 1 species
ACUUGGGAGGUCACUGGAAACUGGGUAACUUGAGUAUGGUAGAGGUAAGUGGAAUUCCAAGUGGAGCGGUGGAAUGCGUAGAGAUUUGGAGGAACACCAGUGGCGAAGGCGGCUUACUGGGCCAUUACUGACGCUCAGGCACGAAAGCGUGGGGAGCAAACAGGAUUAGAUACCCUGGUAGUCCACGCCGUAAACAAUGAGUGCUAAGUAUCGGAUUUAAUUUCGGUGCUGCAGUUAACACAAUAAGCACUCCGCCUGGGGAGUACGGUCGCAAGACUGAAACUCAAAGGAAUUGACGGGGACUCGCACAAGCGGUGGAGCAUGCGGUUUAAUUCGAUGCAACGCGAAGAACCUUACCAGGUCUUGACAUCCCAUUGACCGGUCUAGAGAUAGAUCUUUUCUUCGGAACAAUGGAGACAGGUGGUGCAUGGUUGUCGUCAGCUCGUGUCGUGAGAUGUUGGGUUAAGUCCCGCAACGAGCGCAACCCUUAUCAUUAGUUGCUAACAUUAAGUUGAGCACUCUAAUGAGACCGCCGGCGAUAAGCCGGAUGAAGGUGGGGAUGACGUCAAAUCAUCAUGCCCCUUAUGACCUGGGCUACACGCGUGCUACAAUGGCUAAUACAAAGAGUUUGCAAAACUGUGAAGUCAAGCUAAUCUCAUAAAGUUAGUCUCAGUUCGGAUUGUAGUCUGCAACUCGACUACAUGAAGUUGGAAUCGCUAGUAAUCGCAAAUCAGAAUGUUGCGGUGAAUACGUUCUCGAGUCUUGUACACACCGCCCGU